rnacentral:rRNA from 1 species
AAGCUUUGGUCAGCUCAAGUCCUAUUGAAUGAGGCAUCAUGGAGGGUGAUAAUCCCGUCCGGUUGAUCAUUUGCGUUUUACGAUACGCUCUCUAAGAGUCAAGUUGUUUGGGAUUGCAGCUUAAAAUGGGAGGUAAAUUCUCCUAAGGCUAAAUAACGGCGAGAGACCGAUAGCGAACAAGUACCGUGAGGGAAAAAAAAAAAGCUU